AUAUCAAUAAGCGGAGGAAAAGAAACCAACAGGGAUUGCCUCAGUAACGGCGAGUGAAGCGGCAAAAGCUCAAAUUUGAAAUCUGGCUCUUUCAGGGUCCGAGUUGUAAUUUGUAGAAGAUGCUUUGGGUGCGGCUCCGGUUUAAGUUCUUUGGAAUAUUACAUCAUAGAGGGUGAGAAUCCCGUAUGUGACCGGUUGCCUAUCUCGUGUAAAGCUCUUUCAACGAGUCGAGUUGUUUGGGAAUGCAGCUCAAAAUGGGUGGUAUAUUUCAUCUAAAGCUAAAUAUUGGCCAGAGACCGAUAGCGCACAAGUAGAGUGAUCGAAAGAUGAAAAGCACUUUGGAAAGAGAGUUAAACAGUACGUGAAAUUGUUGAAAGGGAAGCGCUUGCAACCAGACUUGCACGCAGUUGAUCAUCCGGGGUUCUCCCCGGGGCACUCUGCUGCGUUCAGGCCAGCAUCGGUUUUGGUGGUUGGAUAAAGGCCUUGGGAAUGUAGCUUCUUUCGGGGAGUGUUAUAGCCCAAGGUGCAAUGCAGCCUACCGGGACCGAGGACCGCGCUUCGGCUAGGAUGCUGGCGUAAUGGUUGCAAGCGGCCCGUCUUGAAACACGGACCAAGGAGUCUAACAUCUAUGCGAUGUGGGGGUG
rnacentral:rRNA from 1 species